rnacentral:rRNA from 1 species
AGGGUUUGAUCCUGGCUCAGAACGUACGCUGGCGGCACGCCUAACACAUGCAAGUCGAACGAAGUAGCAAUACUUAGUGGCAGACGGGUGAGUAACAUGUAGGUAUCUGCCCUUUGGCCUGGAAUAACACGAGGAAACUUGUGCUAAUACCGGAUAAGUCUUUACGGAGAAAGCUUUAUGCACCAUUGGAUGAGCCUGCACUUGAUUAGUUUGUUGGUGGGGUAAUGGCCUACCAAGACUGUGAUCAAUAGCUGAUUUGAGAGGAUGAUCAGCCACAUUGGGACUGAGACACGGCCCAAACUCCUACGGGAGGCAGCAGUGGGGAAUCUUGCACAAUGGAGGAAACUCUGAUGCAGCGAUGCCGCGUGAGUGAAGAAGGCCCUUGGGUUGUAAAGCUCUUUCGUCGGGGAAGAAAAUGACUGUACCCGAAUAAGAAGGUCCGGCUAACUUCGUGCCAGCAGCCGCGGUAAUACGAAGGGACCUAGCGUAGUUCGGAAUUACUGGGCUUAAAGAGUUCGUAGGUGGUUGAAAAAGUUAGUGGUGAAAUCCCAGAGCUUAACUCUGGAACUGCCAUUAAAACUUUUCAGCUAGAGUAUGAUAGAGGAAAGCAGAAUUUCUAGUGUAGAGGUGAAAUUCGUAGAUAUUAGAAAGAAUACCAAUUGCGAAGGCAGCUUUCUGGAUCAUUACUGACACUGAGGAACGAAAGCAUGGGUAGCGAAGAGGAUUAGAUACCCUCGUAGUCCAUGCCGUAAACGAUGUGUGUUAGACGUUGGAAAUUUAUUUUCAGUGUCGCAGGGAAACCGAUAAACACACCGCCUGGGGAGUACGACCGCAAGGUUAAAACUCAAAUGAAUUGACGGGGACCCGCACAAGUAGUGGAGCAUGUGGUUUAAUUCGAAGAUACGCGCAGAACCUUACCAACACUUGACAUGUUCGUCGCGACUCUAAGAGAUUAGAGUUUUCGGUUCGGCCGGACGAAACACAGGUGCUGCAUGGCUGUCGUCAGCUCGUGUCGUGAGAUGUUGGGUUAAGUCCCGCAACGAGCGCAACCCUCACUUUUAGUUGCCAUCAUUAAGUUGGGCACUCUGAAAGAACUGCCAGUGAUAAGCUGGAGGAAGGUGGGGAUGACGUCAAGUCCUCAUGGCCCUUACGUGUUGGGCUACACACGUGCUACAAUGGUAUCUACAACAGGAAGCAAAACAGCGAUGUUAAGCAAAUCCUUAAAAGAUACCUCAGUUCGGAUUGCACUCUGCAACUCGAGUGCAUGAAGCUGGAAUUACUAGUAAUCGUGGAUCAGCGUGCCACGGUGAAUGCGUUCCCGGGUCUUGUACACACCGCCCGUCACACCAUGGGAGUUGGUUCUACCUUAAGGCAAGGUUUAAAACCCUUGACCACGGUAUAGUCAGCGACUGGGGUGAAGUCAUAACAAGGUAACCGUA